CAGCAGCGGUACCCCCGGCAUGGGGCCCGCAGGCUCCCCCGUCCCACGGGGGUGUCCCCUUACCUGUGGCGGCGGCGCGGAGCGGGCGGCCCCGCAGCAGCGACUGCAGGCGGGCGGCGCGGCGGUGCAGGCGGGCGGCGCGACGGGCCAGCGCCCGCAGGUGGCCCUCGAUGUCCCCCAGGAGAGCGACCGAGUGGCCGCAGAGCUCGGCCAGCUGCCGCAGCAGGGCGAGAGCCGCCAGGCUGCAGGUGUCCCGCAGAUCGGUCAGCGGCCCCGCCGGCCGGACCCGCACUGCCACGCUCCGUCGGUAGAACGGCAUGGGGCGGAUUGGCUCGGGGCGGAUCGGCUCUGUUUCCCCCGGCCCGGUUGCCCCCCGGCCCGGUUCGGUUCAGCCCAGCCAGGCACUGUUCCCCCCGUCGAGCCCCGCGGCUGCGAGGGCUGUGGUCCGGCAGCAGCGCCGGGGCUCGGAGCCGGUCUGUGGGAGGAGGAGGAGGAGGAGGAAGGGGAGGGAGGGGCGGCCCCGCUCGGGGAUGCUCGGGCCGGCGGCGGGGCACGGCGGCACUCGGGAGGGAGAGAGCGGCCCCGGCGGGAGGAGCUGCGGAGACGCUGCGGGCUGGCUGGGGCCGGAGCCCUGGAGCUGGCGCUGCUCGGGCUGGGGCACAGGAAUCCCUCGGGGCCGGCCCUUCCCUCCCGAUGCCAUUCCGAAGGACACGGACACCCUCCGCUUCAUGAGGUGCCCUGA
rnacentral:lncRNA from 1 species